CCUCACCCCAUCCAUGCUAGUGAUCUUAGCAGAACCUCCUCCAUGCCUCACCCCCAGCACGUGGCUAGCUCCACAGUGGAAAGCCAUGUGACAUGAACUGCCAUCAACUCCCGCCCCUGCUCCAGACCGCAGUUACUGGGUCACUAGACAGAGCUGCACAUUCAAGAGCCAUACGCCUCCCUGGUGUCCCAGUUUGCUGAUCACUGAGGGACACGUAGGCUGAAAAGCAGCUUUUCCUUCUCUCUCCCCAGCCCCUAUGCCUGCGUUCUUGCAUUGUCCAAUGGUACAAAUAAAGCAGUCUCCAACUCCAAUGUUCAAGCUGCUUUUUUUCCUAUGUUUUAGAGAGACCAGCUACAAAUCUGGGCAUACUGCCAAGUUUGUUUAUCCUUUAAAAGAAGUGAUAAAUCGUGCCUUAUGGUGAGGAGGGAGAGGAGUACAGGCACCUAACUCUGUCAGCAAGGUGGUGCUCACACAUGCUGUGGAUUGUGUAAGUUAGGUGCCACCCACAUAGCGAGAUUUUCAAAGCAGUUUUUAUGGAGUGAAUUGGGUACCUGCAGGCCUAACAUCAGGCAGGGAUUGGCUGAUGAGUUCAUUAGCAUAUGGUGCAAAGUUUUAUUAUAAGCCCGUCAUGCCAGAUGCACACCCCUCGAAUCCCAGCAUGAUGGUAACAUCUGAGUCAGAGAGUGACAGGUUUGGAAGUUGGAGACACAUUUUUCAGAGGAGUAGAUAGUGGCGAUAAACAAAUUCAUGGCUGUGCAUGCCCCAACCCUGAUGGGUGCCUGAAAGAUAGCAACCUCUUGGCUUCCUAGAACAAGCAACUGGAAAAAGAUAAGGGGCUCAGUAAACACAAUGGCCGCCCAUAGCAGAGGACUUGAGGACAUCAACGAGAAGUGGCAGCUGCCGCAUGAGAAGGCUAAGAGGGCUUUCUAGAAGAUCACUGCCAAAGAGGGGGGACUAAGCCUGGAUAGCCUGCAGAACCUGUGGGUAGUUACAGCACCAAUUCCAGAGGCAGCUGUGGAUGGGAGCAGGCGGUCUGGACCACUCAAAUCUGCAGAGGAACCCACUGUCGCAGAACCUCCCAGUCCCCAUACCCUUCUGACGAGCGAGGAGACCUCAGAUCAGACCUACUACCCAGAGGAGGAGCUGAUGGAUGGGGAGGAGACUGAAAUACCAUCAGGGACAUGCUCAGAAGGCAGCAACUCUCAUCAGCCUGUGGAGGGCCCUAAGACAAAAGCCUCCUGCAUCAGCCUGUCCUGUACCCUGCAGCCCUGCACAGCUCCAGGGAGAUUUCCAGAAGGACCACCUCCUGGUGAUGGUUGCCUGGGGAGAGGCAUGUCUCCCCCCACAGGAAGAGGGACAGAGUCUGACAUGCUCCUGAGAUGGUUCACAAGGAGAAAGAAGUUUCCCCCUCUUGUGUCCCUGUGCAGGGACUGGCCAGAAUCUUCUUGGAAAGCACUGUCACUGAGUUAGGCUGGCAUAGAGUGGGCAGCAAGUGCACUCUCUCCAAGGCCACAGCAGCCAAGGAACAACCCAAUAAGAUGCCAGUAAGAAGCAGCCCAGAGAAACAAGACAUUGGUCCUGUGGCGUUCCCUAGAGGUGAGGCAGCAACCUCAUAUUUCCCUGCCAGCCCAGCAAUGGGACCACCCAUCACUUCAAGGACCCUGGGCUGGGACCCCAUUGAUCAGGGUGAGCCUGAGUUCCCCUUGGCUAACCCCUUGGCUGAGGGGCCUCAGCUAUUGCCUAUUUGUUAGCUCAGCCCACACCUGAGGGGCCUGAGCCCUUGACUGUUUAUAGUUUAGCCCGCAGGCAGGACCCUGAGCUACAGACUCCUUACUGGCCUAGCCCAGAUCCAGAGGGCCUGAGCUGCUACUUGCCCUGCCUCUCAGCUGCAAACCAGGAUGACUGAUCUCUCCACUCAGCAUGAGCACCAAUUCUGGACUGCCAAAGGGUAUGCCCCAGAAGAGACUCAAGGAACCUUACAGUCACCAAAACCCAAUUCUGAUCCUUAAAUCCCUACCUUGAAGAGGCUGCAACCUUGUCUAUGAAACACCUAGCACACCUUUGGCACUGUAGUCAUAAUAAAGAUUAGCAAUGAAUGAAAAAUAUCUCUAGCUGUACUCAGGCUGAAAAGAGUCAAUUCAGAGGACUAUCAAUUUCCCAUGUACCAGUAAGCAAGCUAUAGUGGAUUGAAAUCAUUCUGGAGCACUUUCAAUUUUAUAGAGCUUUAACUAUGAAUUAAUAAAACCCCAAAUACAAGACUCUUCCUCUUUCAUUUGCCACACCUGACUUGGUCAUUAGGCCUAUAACAAAUACCAGCAGCUUCUCUCAGUCUUAUCAGAACCAAACUAAAGAAAAAGAGGAGUUUUUCCUCUGGAGGGUGAGCUAGUGAACGCUGCUAACUCAGCUCCUAGUCAGUGUAGAAAUGACUCAUUGAAAGAUGAUCCACUUUCUGGGAAGGGCAGUGGCACAGCUGAGAUGAGAA